CGAAGCCUCACGGGAAGCGGAGUUCCUAAGGCCGCCUGCGGCCCGGCAAUUACCACCCGGGUCCUCUCACACUUAGCAGUGGGUGUCAGAUGGUGGAAGGGAACGCUCAGGGAGGCUCCGGGCGGUGAGUUGUCCCUCGGGCGGGGACGCCCUCGUGGGCAGUGCGGCGUGGACGGCGCAAGGAAGAACCCGGAGAGAUCCCAAGCCACGAGGCACCGCUUCCGGCGCAUUGUGAGGUCCCACCUUUCCCGCCGCCUGAGGUCGCGGCGGCUGCUCUUUCCCGGAGCAGCGUCCCUGGAGGCGCUGCCAGGGGGCUGAGGCACCCACGCGUGCACCGUGUGUACCCCCCAGCGCGGCGCUUAGAACGACUCGCAUGAGUCGCUGCCUUGGGUUGGAACCGGUUACUCCGCCGCUUCGUACUGGACUGCAAAGUAACAAGUACUUCGCCGGGCAGCGGUGCCGACCCCGUGUGCUACGGCGAGAGGUGCUUAGCCUAGAGCCGACGAAAACAUGUCCCCAGGACUCCCUUUCCCUCCCAGACUGCGUCGCACCAGAUGGAGCUUUCCGUCUGUUUUAACCACCAGUGUAUUCCUGAUGCCUGACCCAGGCGCUGAAAUAUUUGUUGAACGAAUAAAUGUGUAGGUUAGGACUGUGACGACAGUCCGCGAAUUCUGGAACACGGGCUGAUUUUACUUUUGAACAAAUGAUGCACUGGAACUUCCUGACAGAGCUGACCUUUUAUAGGAACAUCAAUGGCAGUCACCGCUGGCAUUUUAGCAAAGGUUGUCUUGGUCAUAAUUUCCCCUUGACUGUGUUGCCAGCCCUUAAUCUAUAUCGGGUGGGACCUGGACGUCUACCUUCUCGCCACCCCUCGGCAAAAGUUUGAGAAAGUGUUUGAGGCAGAGCCUCCUCUCUCAUAUUCCCUCCAUCUGCGAAUUAGAACGAAUUAUAAGUUCUACGGUGUCACAUAGGGGGUUAGUGGAGAGGAAGAGGGAAAGAAUCAAAUACAGGACGCUGCCUUAACCAAAGUUCUAAACUCUAAAUGUAAUAAUGUGCAUUUGUGAGUCCUCAGGAAGUUUCACAAAGGCUUUCCCUUUUUUCACAGAAUGUCUAGUAGGACUGGUGACUCCGAAUGGGAAAAACACAGGACCUAGACCUGCCCUGUCCAUUAGUGUAGCCCCUUGGCCACUUAGGGCCACUGAGCACUUGAAAUGAGGCUAGUUCGUUUAGGAGGCACUGGAAGUGCAAAAUACGCACGGGUGUCAGUUCGACGAAUGUGAAAUACCUCACUGAUCACUUUUUAUAUUGAUUGCACGUUGAAAUAUUUUGGAUAUAUUGCAGUAAAGAAAAUGUAAGCCGGGCACGGUGCCUCACACCUGUGAUCCAGCAGUUUAGGAGGCUGAGGUGGGAGGAUCGCUUGGGCAGGAGUUAGAGACCAGCCUGGGCAAGAUAGGGAAACCCCCGUCUCUACAAAAAGUUAAAAAAAAAAAAAAAAAAAAA
rnacentral:antisense_RNA from 1 species